GACGAACGCUGGCGGCGUGCUUAACACAUGCAAGUCGAACGGAAAGGCCCUGCUUUUGUGGGGUGCUCGAGUGGCGAACGGGUGAGUAACACGUGGGUAACCUGCCCUUGACUUUGGGAUAACUUCAGGAAACUGGGUCUAAUACCGGAUAGUAGUUCCUGCUGCAUGGUGGGGGUUGGAAAGUUUCGGCGGUUGGGGAUGGACUCGCGGCUUAUCAGCUUGUUGGUGGGGUAGUGGCUUACCAAGGCUUUGACGGGUAGCCGGCCUGAGAGGGUGACCGGCCACAUUGGGACUGGGGUAAGGCCCAGACCCCUACGGGAGGCAGGAGUGGGGAAUAUUGCACAAUGGGCGGAAGCGUGAUGCAGCAACGCCGCGUGCGGGAUAACGGCCUUCGGGUUGUAAACCGCUUUCGCCUGUGACGAGGCGUGAGUGACGGUAAUGGGUAAAGAAGCACCGGCUAACUACGUG
rnacentral:rRNA from 1 species